GAAAUGCGAUAAGUAGUGUGAAUUGCAGAAUUCAGUGAAUCAUCGAAUCUUUGAACGCACAUUGCGCCCUUUGGUAUUCCAAAGGGCAUGCCUGUUCGAGCGUCAUUUGUACCCUCAAGCUUUGCUUGGUGUUGGGCGUCUUGUCUCUAGCUUUGCUGGAGACUCGCCUUAAAGUAAUUGGCAGCCGGCCUACUGGUUUCGGAGCGCAGCACAAGUCGCACUCUCUUUCAGCAAAGGUCUAGCAUCCAUUAAGCCUUUUUUCAACUUUUGACCUCGGAUCAGGUAGGGAUACCCGCUGAACUUAAGC
rnacentral:misc_RNA from 1 species